rnacentral:rRNA from 1 species
GACGAACGCUGGCGGCGUGCUUAACACAUGCAAGUCGAACGGAAAGGCCCUGCUUUUGUGGGGUGCUCGAGUGGCGAACGGGUGAGUAACACGUGAGUAACCUGCCCUUGACUUUGGGUUAACUUCAGGAAACUGGGGCUAAUACCGGAUAGGAGCUCCUGCUGCAUGGUGGGGGUUGGAAAGUUUCGGCGGUUGGGGAUGGACUCGCGGCUUAUCAGCUUGUUGGUGGGGUAGUGGCUUACCAAGGCUUUGACGGGUAGCCGGCCUGAGAGGGUGACCGGCCACAUUGGGACUGAGAUACGGCCCAGACUCCUACGGGAGGCAGCAGUGGGGAAUAUUGCACAAUGGGCGGAAGCCUGAUGCAGCAACGCCGCGUGCGGGAUGACGGCCUUCGGGUUGUAAACCGCUUUCGCCUGUGACGAAGCGUGAGUGACGGUAAUGGGUAAAGAAGCACCGGCUAACUACGUGCCAGCAGCCGCGGUGAUACGUAGGGUGCGAGCGUUGUCCGGAUUUAUUGGGCGUAAAGGGCUCGUAGGUGGUUGAUCGCGUCGGAAGUGUAAUCUUGGGGCUUAACCCUGAGCGUGCUUUCGAUACGGGUUGACUUGAGGAAGGUAGGGGAGAAUGGAAUUCCUGGUGGAGCGGUGGAAUGCGCAGAUAUCAGGAGGAACACCAGUGGCGAAGGCGGUUCUCUGGGCCUUUCCUGACGCUGAGGAGCGAAAGCGUGGGGAGCGAACAGGCUUAGAUACCCUGGUAGUCCACGCUGUAAACGGUGGGUACUAGGUGUGGGGUCCAUUCCACGGGUUCCGUGCCGUAGCUAACGCUUUAAGUACCCCGCCUGGGGAGUACGGCCGCAAGGCUAAAACUCAAAGGAAUUGACGGGGCCCCGCACAAGCGGCGGAGCAUGCGGAUUAAUUCGAUGCAACGCGUAGAACCUUACCUGGGUUUGACAUGGAUCGGGAGUGCUCAGAGAUGGGUGUGCCUCUUUUGGGGUCGGUUCACAGGUGGUGCAUGGCUGUCGUCAGCUCGUGUCGUGAGAUGUUGGGUUAAGUCCCGCAACGAGCGCAACCCUUGUUCACUGUUGCCAGCACGUUAUGGUGGGGACUCAGUGGAGACCGCCGGGGUCAACUCGGAGGAAGGUGGGGAUGACGUCAAGUCAUCAUGCCCCUUAUGUCCAGGGCUUCACGCAUGCCACAAUGGCUGGUACAGAGAGUGGCGAGCCUGUGAGGGUGAGCGAAUCUCGGAAAGCCGGUCUCAGUUCGGAUUGGGGUCUGCAACUCGACCUCAUGAAGUCGGAGUCGCUAGUAAUCGCAGAUCAGCAUGCUACGGUGAAUACGUUCCCGGGUCU